rnacentral:rRNA from 1 species
UACGUAGGGGGCAAGCGUUGUCCGGAUUUACUGGGCGUAAAGAGCGUGUAGGCGGCCAAGCAGGUCCGUUGUGAAAACUGGAGGCUUAACCUCCAGACGUCGACGGAAACCGCGUGGCUAGAGUCCGGAAGAGGAGAGUGGAAUUCCUGGUGUAGCGGUGAAAUGCGCAGAUAUCAGGAAGAACACCAAUGGCGAAGGCAGCACUCUGGGACGUGACUGACGCUGAGACGCGAAAGCGUGGGUAGCAAACAGG